GACGUAGGGCGCGAGCGUUGUCCGGAUUUAUUGGGCGUAAAGAGCUCGUAGGCGGCUUGUCGCGUCGAAUGUGAAAACCCACGGCUCAACUGUGGGCUUGCAUUCGAUACGGGCAGGCUAGAGUUCGGUAGGGGAGACUGGAAUUCCUGGUGUAGCGGUGAAAUGCGCAGACUAUCAGGAGGAACACCGGUGGCGAAGGCGGAUCUCUGGGCCGUAACUGACGCUGAGGAGCGAAAGCAUGGGGAGCGAACAGG
rnacentral:rRNA from 1 species